GGCUGAAAUUCGCCUUCAUGAAGCUGGAAUUGCUAGUAAUGGCAGGUCAGCAUACUGCCGUGAAUACGUUCCCGGGCCUUGUACACACCGCCCGUCACACCAUGAGAGUUGGGAAUACCCGAAGCCUGUGAGCUAACCUAUAGAGGCAGCAGUCGAAGGUAGAAUCAAUGAUUGGGGUGAAGUCGUAACAAGGUACC
rnacentral:rRNA from 1 species